CGCAUCUGUGCAUGCAGCAUAUCAAUAAGCGGAGGAAAAGAAACUAACAAGGAUUCCCCUAGUAACGGCGAGUGAAGCGGGAAGAGCUCAAAUUUGAAAUCUUAAAGGGUUUCCCUUUACGAAUUGUAGUUUAAAGAAGUGUUUUCUGUUGAGGUUUUGGUAAAAGUUCUUUGGAAUAGGACAUCAUAGAGGGUGAGAAUCCCGUAUUUGACCUUUACUUUCAACUUUGUGAUACACUUUCAAAGAGUCGGAUUGUUUGGGAAUGCAGUCCAAAAUGGGUGGUAAAUUCCAUCUAAAGCUAAAUAUUGGCGAGAGACCGAUAGCGAACAAGUACCGUGAGGGAAAGAUGAAAAGAACUUUGAAAAGAGAGUUAAACAGUACGUGAAAUUGUCAAAAGGGAAGCGUUUGACACCAGUGUUGUUUUUCUGAAAAUCAAUUAAAGAACUGUUUAUGCUAAGUUGUUUAGACUUUAUCAGCUAACUGUUUAGUUUUGAGCUUUUCUUUAAUGCACUUUUCAGUUAACAAGUCAACAUCAAUUUCUUUUGCUGUAGAAAAAGCUUGAGGAAGGUGGCUUGAGAUUCGUCUUAAGUGUUUAUAGCCUCUUGCCUAUGCAGUCGGAGAGAUUGAGGUCUGCAGCGUAGAUCCUUCGGGGCUAAAUGCAUUUGUGCUAAGUUAUAGCAUUUUAUAGACAACUUGUUGACUAUGAUUUGUCUUGUAGCUUACUCGCUUAUGUUAUUUUACCUACGCUUAGGAUGUUGAACGCGCACAGAGUCUC
rnacentral:rRNA from 1 species